GUGCUCACUUUGGCAGCACGUAUACUAAAAUUGGAACGAUACAGAGAAGAUUAGCAUGGCAGCUGUGCAAGGAUGAGAUCGGGUUGAGAGGUGAAUGGUCAGCUGGU
ensembl:snRNA U6 U6 spliceosomal RNA